AAGCUACAAAGAGCUUACGGAGGAUGCCUUGGCGCUGAGUGCCGAAGAAGGACGUGGGACACUGCGAAAAGCCUGGGGGAGCUGUGAACGAGCGCCGAUCCCAGGAUGUCCGAAUGGGGAAACCCGACAGAGCGAACCUCUGUCACAAUUACAUGAACCAAAUAGUGUAAUUGGGGGAACCGGGGGAACUGAAACAUCUAAGUACCCCGAGGAAAAGAGAAUAUUCCCAAAGUAGUGGCGAGCGAAAUGGGAGAAGCCCAAACCAUCUGUGGUUGAACAUAGAUGGGGUUGUAGGGCCGGACGAUAAGUGAAGAAAGCCAGAAGAUAGCAGAAUGACGUGGGAAAGUCAGCCAGAGAAGGUGAUAGCCCGGUAUGCGAAAUCGGAUGGACACGAGUCCGGUACCUGAGUAGUACCGUGCACGCUAAUACGGUAUGAAGCUGGGGAGUCCACUUCCCAAGGCUAAACACACACAGCGACCGAUAGAGGACAAGUACCGUGAGGGAAAGGUGAAAAGUACCCCGAUAAGGGGAGUGAAAUAGAACCUGAAACCGUAAGCUUACAAGCAGUCGAAGGGCAAUGCCAGCAAUGGUAAGCCUGACGGCGUGCCUCUUGGAGAAUGAGCCUGCGAGUUAUUCGAUGUGGCGAGGUUAAGGGAGAGAAACCCGGAGCCGAAGCGAAAGCGAGUCUUAAUAGGGCGUUUAGUCGCAAAGAAUAGACACGAAACUGGAUGAGCUAACCAUGGGCAGGAUGAAGCGAGCGUAACACCUCGUGGAAGACCGAACCUUUCAACGCUGCAAAGUUGAGGGAUGACCUGUGGUUAGAGGUGAUAUGCCAAACGAAUUCAGAGAUAGCUUGUUCUCCCCGAAAUAGUUUUAGGACUAGCGGUUGGAGCAUAACUUAUGGAGGUAGAGCACUGAAUGAGCGCGGGGGUCAAAGACUUACCAACCUCAAUCAAACUCCGAAUGCCAAAAGUAGGACCCAGCCAGUCGGACUACGGGUGAUGAGAUUCGUGGUCGAGAGGGAAACAGCCCAGAUCAUCGGCUAAGGCCCCAAAAUGUAUGCUAAGUGGGAAACGAUGUGGAGUUACAGAGACAACCAGGAGGUUCGCUCAGAAGCAGCAACCCUUUAAAGAGUGCGUAACAGCUCACUGGUCAAGUGAUUCUGCGCGGAAAACGUAACGGGGCUAAGCAUACUGCCGAAGCCAUGGGAUUUAUACGUAGGUAUAGAUCGGUAGGGGAGCGUUCCAUCAGCGGAGAAGGGAUACCGAAAGGAGUCCUGGAGCGGAUGGAAGUGAGAAUGCAGGCAUGAGUAGCGAAAAACAUGUGAGAACCAUGUUCAUCGAAAUAUCCAAGGUUUCCGACGUCAAGUCAAUCUGCGUCGGGUUAGUCGGGGCCUAAGGCGAGGCCGAAAGGCGUAGUCGAUGGAGAGCCGGUUAAUAUUCCGGCACCGAAGAGUGGAGCGAAGCGGGGACACAACGAGGGAAUCCAGCCUGUUAGUGGAUUCAGGUGGACGAACGUCAGCCGUAGAGGAUGGGGUUAAAUGACCGUCCGAGGUGAGGGAAGUCAGGAGGCGCAAGCCGGAACUGAGAAGCACCUUGUUGUCAAGAAAAGCCGCUAAGCAAUGAAGCUUGGAGCCCGUACCGCAAACCGACACCGGUGGAUGAGUAGAGAAUACUGAGAUGAACGGGAGAACUAUCGUUAAGGAAUUAGGCAACAUAGCCCCGUAACUUAGGGAGAAGGGGUGCCCCCUGUUUUGAUAAAUAGGGACGGGGGGUCGCAGUGAAAGGGCUCUAGUAACUGGUUAACAAAACCACAGGUCUCUGCGAAGUCGAAAGACGAAGUAUAGGGGCUGACGCCUGCCCAGUGCCGGAAGGUUAAGGGGAGUGGUUAGACGCAAGUCGAAGCUGUGAACUGAAGCCCCGGUGAACGGCGGCCGUAACUAUAACGGUCCUAAGGUAGCGAAAUUCCUUGUCGGGUAAGUUCCGACCCGCACGAACGGCGUAAUAACUAGAGCACUGUCUCGACGAUAGACCCGGUGAAAUUGAAAUGGCUGUGAAGAUGCGGCCUACCCGCAGCAGGACAAAAAGACCCCGUGGAGCUUUACUGUAACCUGGCAUUGAGUUUAGGUGUUAUUUGUGUAGGAUAGGUGGGAGACAGAGAAAUCAGGGCGCCAGCCUUGGUGGAGUCGGCGGUGAAAUACCACCCUGAUAACAUUUGAACUCUAACGUUUGCCCAUGAACUGGGAAACGGACCGUGUCAGGCGGGCAGUUUGACUGGGGCGGUCGCCUCCAAAAGAGUAACGGAGGCGCCCAAAGGUUCCCUCAGACAGAAUGGAAACCUGUCGGAGAGUGUAAAGGCAAAAGGGAGCUUAACUGAAAGACCAACGCGUCGACCAGAUACGAAAGUAGGGCUUAGUGAUCCCACGGUACAGAGUGGAAUGGCCGUGGCUUACCGGACAAAAGCUACCCCGGGGAUAACAGGCUGGUGAAGUCCAAGAGUUCACAUCGACGACUUCGCUCGGCACCUCGAUGUCGGCUCAUCGCAUCCUGGGGCUGGACAAGGUCCCAAGGGUCCGGCUGUUCGCCGGUUAAAGCGGUACGCGAGCUGGGUUCAGACCGUCGUGAGACAGGUCGGUCUCUAUCCGCUGUGGGCGAAAGAGAAUUGAGAAGGGCUGCCCCUAGUACGAGAGGACCGGGGUGGACGAACCUCUGGUGUGUCAGUUGUUCCGCCAGGAGCACCGCUGAGUAGCCACGUUCGGAAGAGAUAACCGCUGAAAGCAUCUAAGUGGGAAACUCGCUUCAAGAUAAGUUCUCUUGACUGAAAAGUAUAAGAUCGCAAGGAGACUACUUGCUGGAUAGGCCGGAGGUGAAAGGUCAGUAAUGGCUUGAGCAAACCGGUACUAAUGAUCGAAGGCUU
rnacentral:rRNA from 1 species